UUUUGUUAUUAAGAAUGAUUUGAUAUAUUUCAUGCUAUUUAUUUAUAACUAAGAAUAGUUCUUAUCAGAGCCGUGUUUACAUCAGUGAUUACAGGUACCCCUCUUGUCGCCCCUUUAUAUUUUUGAUAUUUUAAGCAAACAUUUAAAAAAUUAAACUUUCAAAAAGUGAAAUAAUCAAAAUUGCACAUUAGGUUUAGUAUUUUAAAAGUUUGAUCAAGUUUCUAAAAUAUCAAAUUUAUAAACGAUAUUUAGAAUUUUGAUAUUUUAAUAAUUUGGUUAAAAU
rnacentral:lncRNA from 1 species